rnacentral:tRNA from 1 species
GCAUUAAUGGGGUAGUGGUAACCUGGGUCGUUGCCAUUCGAAUACCGAACUCGACCCGCCGGGGGUUCGAUUCCCUCUUAAUGCA